ACUGACUUGCCCAAGGUCAUAAAGUUAGUAAGAGCUAGAGCUAGGUUCUAUGGAAGUCACUAUUUGCUACCACCCAGAUCCCCCUUCAGGAUUGAAGCCUUACUCCUCCAGCUGCUGAGAGUACCAUUGGCUGACAGCCCUCAGCUGUCUCCCUCUCUGCUCAUUGCCCUCUAUGUAAGUGAGCCUCUUCACUCAAGGUUUUGCAGGCUUAGAGGUCUUGGCUUCCAAAGGGAGAAAGCUUCCACCAGGGGACACAGAAGGGUCCCAUUGAACUCUAAGCUAUGGUUACUGGUGGGGCACUUCAGAUUCCAUGUGCUGAGGAACCACCCUCUUAGCAGCACUAUUUGAUCCUGAUCAAGAAGAGGAGGGCUACUCUUACACAAUGGAAGCAGGAAGACCUAUUUUUACCACCCAGGCCUUGGAAAGUGUUCCAGGAAUGGACUUUCUGCAGUAUGAUGACCUGCAAAAGCAGCCCUUCCAUUUACAUUUCAAACUCCAAGUCAGCCGUGUCAAAGUUUGAACCAGAACUGUGGAGGAUAAUGGGUCAGAUGCAAUUAGCAGCCCAGAGAACCACACGUUGCAGUCUGAUUUAUUUUUUUGCCCAUCAGAUUCCAAGAAUCCUAGUGCUUAAAAGCAACUAAACAAUCGCUCUAUUGUACUGAAAUAAAGCCCGGUUAAUUCAGAAAUCAAUUGCACCACCAGGUGGGGCACACUCUGGCCCCAAACAGAUGGGGUUGAAAACUCCCCUCAAAAUGCAGUCUUGUUAAAUUAAAAACUUGAUCCAGGAGUGGAACAAAUAGGGAGCCAUGAAUGGAAUGGAGUCAGGUCCACUCAGGCGGAUUCUUUCUUCUCCCACUCCUUUUCCUUUAAAAAAGAAAAAUUCCCCAUUUCACUUUCAUCAGUGUUAGCAUCUAUGCAGAAACGCAGCCAUCCACCCUUUGCAGUUGAAUGUGUUACUUUAAUUAGUCUGAAAAUUAAAGGGCAACUCCGGGCCAAUGUGAAUGAUUAUGAAAAUACAUGUGCAUCCCAUGCAAUCUUCUCAUUUAAUUAAUAGUCUUGUAAACUAUAUGGCUCACUUUAAGUCAGUCAAGAGGUAUAACAACUCCAUUUUAAAUAUCCACUUAAUACUUAACAGGAUGUGAGGAACACACUAUAGCAUACGGUCCCUUCUCAAGUUUCACUGUCUGAAAUUUUUCAAAGCUGACCCAAGUCAACCUGAAAAAUGUUUAACACCCUGGGCUUGAACACAAGAAACUCUGUGAUGAACAGACAUUCAAUUACAUUUUUUAAAAGUGAGAAGCAUUUUUGUAAAAUAGCGACUCUGGAAACUAAUUGGCAGCCGCAAAACUUGUGAGCAAAGGCCAAAUCUUGUGGGGAACUUUUACUACAGUAACACGACUCAAAGAAAAUGUGAAUAAAAGGCAUCUUUGUUUCCCAGUCAAAUUAGCUGAUUAAGAAAUAAAACAUCUUAACAUGUUUUUAA
rnacentral:lncRNA from 1 species